rnacentral:rRNA from 1 species
GCCAUGCAUGUCUAAGUAUAAACGAUUUAAUCGUGAAACCGCGAAUGGCUCAUUAUAACAGCUAUAAUUUACUUGAUCUUGACACAAUCCUACUUGGAUAACUGUGGUAAUUCUAGAGCUAAUACAUGCAUUAAAGCUCUGACCUCACGGGAAGAGUGCAUUUAUUAGAACAAAACCAAGCGGCUUCGGCUGUUUCUGGUUGACUCAUAGUAACUGAGCUGAUCGCAUGGUCUUGCACCGGCGACGUGUCUUUCAAGUAUCUGCCGUAUCAACUUUCGAUGGUAGUGUAUCUGACUACCAUGGUGAUCACGCGUAACGGAGAAUAAGGGUUCGGCUCCGGAGAGUUCGCCUGAGAAAUCGCGAACACAUCUAAGGAAGGCAGCAGGCGCGAAAAUUACCCACUCUCAGCACGAGGAGGUAGUGACGAAAAAUAACGAGACCGUUCUCUUAUGAGGCCGGUCAUCGGAAUGGGUACAAUUUAAACCCUUAAC